CGCUAGCGGCGUGCUUAAGCUAUGCAAGUCGAGCGAGGUCCAACACUGAAGUUCCUUCGGGAGCCGAUGUGUUGAAACCUAGCGGCAAACGGGUGAGUAACACGUGAACAACCUACCCCGCCGUCUGGGAUAACUGAUCGAAAGGCCAGCUAAUACCAGAUAUGAAGCCUCUUUGCAUGAAGAGGCUUGGAAAGAGGCAACUCACGACGGGAGGGGUUCGCGUCCUAUCAGCUAGUUGGUGAGGUAACGGCUCACCAAGGCGACAACGGGUAGCCGACCUGAGAGGGUGACCGGCCACACUGGGACUGAGACACGGCCCAGACUCCUACGGGAGGCAGCAAGCGGGAAUAUUGCACAAUGGGCGAAAGCCUGAUGCAGCGACGCCGCGUGAGGGAUGAAAGCCUUCGGGUUGUAAACCUCUGUUGACGGGGACGAAGAUCUGACGGUACCCGUCCAGAAAGCCCCGGCUAACUCCGUG
rnacentral:rRNA from 1 species